rnacentral:lncRNA from 1 species
AUGGCGGCGGCGGCGGCCGGCGGCGGGAGGGGCGGCGGGGCGCAGGCCGCGGUGGCGGAGCAGAUAGCGCAGGCGGUGCAGUCCACGUCCAACCUCCUCCAGCUCAUGGAGGAGUCCUCCCCGGCCCAGCGGAGGAGAGGCGCGGCGCGCUUGGCGGCUGUACGGGCGCCGGUGGCGGCGAGGGACCAGCGAGCAGAGCAUAGGGAAAGAAGGGGCAAUGAAAUUGCAUUUAAAUGGAACAUUAAAGUUGCUCACCUGGCAAAACUUCCCAAGAAACUCUUGGCAAAAGCAUCUCUUGCAAAGAACACAGGGCAGGUCCUGCAUCAACUACCUAGUGUAAUUUCUUCCUUGGAUGCUUAUAUGGACGCUAGUUUGCAAAGUGCUUCUCAAAUUAAGACUGUUACACAGCUCUUGUCAAACAUGGAGAAUAACCAGCUGAGAUCUAUCCUGCCUGCCUCUCGGUUAGAGAAAGCACAGAAGAAAACUGAGACUGGAGAACUCAGGAUUGAAUGAUAAGUUUACC